rnacentral:lncRNA from 1 species
CAGCACAUAGCUAUGUUACAUUUCAUCAAACCUGUUAUACAAUACAGCCCACCAAUCAACAUUUAAUAUAAAAUCAACCACAAUAAGAAUACAAACAUUAAAAAUCAAAUUAUUUACAAAAUUUAUCGAGGUUUCAAAUCCAAACUACAAAACACACAAAAGACUAAAACUACAACUCAUCAUCCGCAUCCGCAUUCUCAGCCUCACCCAUUCUAUUAUCAUUAUUUCAUUGAUAUAUCCAGCUAUAAUUAGGUUCCAUCUACACAAUCAAUCACAUUCAAGUAAUUAGUUCAAGUCACAAAAGUUCACAUUUCAAGUACCUACACUUAAACAUUUUCAAGUCACUAAUUCACUUCACAAGUUACCAAACUAAACUUAAUUCAAAAUGAAAAGUUUACAUUUCAAAUACCUACACUUAAACAUUUUCAAGUCACUAAUUCACUUCUCAAGUGACCACACUUUACUAAAAUCAAAAUGAAAGUUCACAUUUCAAGUACCCAAAUUCAAAACAGAAGUCACUAAUUCAUAAUUCACGUACCUACACCUAAACAUUUUCAAGUCACUAAGUCACUUCACAAGUUACCAAACUAAACUAAAUUCAAAAUGAAAAGUUAACAUUUCAAGUACCUACACCUAAAUAUUUUCAAGUCUCUAAGUCACUUCACAAGUUACCAAACUAACCUAAAUUCAAAAUGAAAAGUUCACAUUUCAAGUACCUACACCUAAACAUUUUCAAGUCACUAAAUCAUUUCACAAGUUACCAAACUAAACUAAAUUCAAAAUGAAAAGUUCACAUUUCAAGUACCUACACCUAAACAUUUUGAAGUCACUUAUUCACUUCUUAAGUGACCAUGCUUAACUAAAUUCAAAACACAAGUGACCAUACUUAACUAAAUUCAAAACACAAGUUCACAUUUCAAGUACCUACACUUAAACAUUUUCAAGUCGCUUAUUCACUUCUCAAGUGACCACACUUAACUAAAUUCAAAACACAAGAUCACAUUUCAAGUACCUACACUUAAACAUUUUCAAGUCACUUAUUCACUUCUCAAGUUACCAAACUAAACUAAAUUCAAAACUAAAAUUCACAUUUCAAGUACCUACACUUCAAUAUUUUCAAGUCACUAAGUCACUUCACAAGUUACCAAACUAAACUAAAUUCAAAACUAAAUUUCACAUUUCAAGUACCUACACUUCAACAUUUUUAAGUUACUAAGUCACUUCACAAGUUACCAAACUAAACUAAAUUUAAAACUAAAAUUCACAUCUCAAGUACCUACACUUCAACAUUUUCAAGUCACUAAUUCACUUUACAAGUUACCAAACUUUACUAAAUUCAAAAUAAAAGUUCACAUUUCAAGUACCUACACUUCAAUUUUUUCAAGUCACUAAGUCACUUCACAAGUUAUCAAACUAAACUAAAUUCAAAAUGAAAAUUUCACAUUUCAAUUACCUACACCUAAAUAUUUUCAAGUCACCAAGUCACUUCACAAGUAACCAAACUAAUUAAAUUCAAAAUGAAAAGUUCACAUUUCAAGUACCUACACCUUAACAUUUUCAAGUCACUUCACAAGUUACUAAACUAAACUAAAUUUAAAAUGAAAAGUUCAUAUUUCAAGUACCUACAUCUAAAUAUUUUCAAGUCACUAAGUCACUUUACAAGUUACCAAAUUAAAAAAAAUUCAAAAUGAAAAGUUCACAUUUCAAGUAUCUACACCUAAACAUUUUCAAGUCACUAAGUCACUUCACAAGUUACCAAACUAAACUAAAUGUGUAACAGCACUGUGAAACUUUUGUAAGAAAUUAACUAUCUCUUCUUAAGCAAUCCAAUUUAUAUCGGUCAAAUUAUUUUUAUCACUAUCACCACCACGACCACCACCACUGUCAAUAACAACAUCAUUAAUAACAAUAUCAUCAACAAUAACAUCAGCAUCAACAACAAUAGAUUCAUUAUAAGCUUCUGUAAGAAUGGCUUUAUAUUCCAUGGCACCUUCUAACAUAUCAUAAGUAGUAUUCCACCUUGUUGGAAUAUCUACUUUUCGAGAUAAUUUCAUUACUUGUUUAUCAGCUAAAUAUCUUUUACUUAAUUCGUUCUCUCUAAAACUACAACCAUAAAUAUAGUGCACCAUUUUUCUUACUUUUCUAAUUUCAAGUUCAAAACGAGCAAUUCCAUCCCUAACAAUCGAAUUCAGAAUAUGACAUGCACAUUUAACACAACUAUGCUUCAUUUCUUGCACAUUUGAUUCAUUCUCUUUCUUCUUAAAAUAUGAAUUAACAGAAAAUAACUUAUCAACAUCAACAUGUUACCUGAGGGAGCGACGGAGCGAGGGAGUUUGCCGGUGAGCUGCUUUCGGUGGUGGUUUUGCCGGUGGAAGGUGGAUGUUGAUCGGUGGAAUCCUCGCCGGCAGUGGUGGAUUUCAUCGGUGGGGGAUGGUUUUGUUUGGUUGGUGAUGUUGAGAGGCAACAUCUUGGUGGAGUGGUGGCGGUAGAGAUGAUUGAGGAGAGAGAGGUGAUGGACUCACCGGUGGUGGAGCAGUGGUGGUAGUGAAGCAGCGGAGAGAGCUUGUAUAGGAGAUGCCGCUGUU